rnacentral:lncRNA from 1 species
CGCACCCGAGUUUAGGAGGGUAAAUUAUUAAAAUAACGCGCCUAAAGCAACUCCGCGUUUGCAACUUUGCGAGGGCUAUGAAAAUUUGUUAAAUGACAUGCCUCAAUUUCUAAGGAUUAAAUCAAAAUUAAUUAAAUGAUGGCCAUGCAAUUUUUAUUUUUGUUUGGCACGAUGCACUUCGAUUCUAAUUUUUAAAAGAAAGUUCAAGCUAAAUAUUUAAGGGCCAUAAACUAUUUUCAUUACCUAAUAUGGCUUGCCUCCACUAAUUUAAAAGAGUGAGUAUUGGAAUAUUAGAGGAUCUUGGGUCCCGCUCAUCUAUGAAAUGUUAACUAAAACUUGAUACUUAAUGCUGGUGAUGAAUGGCCCAAUUGGUAAGACGUGAACAACUUUCUUCAUUACAGCUGUCUUUGGGCCCAAAAUCGGACCAAUACUAAAAUUAUUUACACACAAAUUACUUGAAGUUCUAAGCACUUGCAAGUUGAAUUAAUAUCUGUAAAUAAACUUAUAUCGAAAUCCUAAAACUAUUGAACUAAUCAGGUUUUCGAAAUCGCUGGCAAAUAAAUAACGGAGAUCUGGCAUCGAACCCUUUAUGGAUACAAUAUUUCAUGGCCAUGGGCUGAUUUUCUUGGGCUUCAACUUAAACCCAUCAGCCUCAAGCCUUGGCAUUUAAACAGAUACCUGAACACGAGGCAGACAAACAUUUUUGGUGAUAUUAAACUCCUGGCCUUUAAGCUAUAUGACAAGUUUACAUAGUGAAAAGGAAUAAGAAUCUGUUUUCAUUUUUAAUACAAAAUAGGAUCUCCUGAUUAACAACCUUCCAAACUACAUUGGAAUUGAGAAAUCAGAAACAUCUAAUACUCAUUAUUGAACUAACAUGCUAAGCAGAACCCUUAUAGAGCAUUUCGACCAGUCAUUUUUAGUAGCACUAUCAAACAUGUGAAUGUGACAACAAUGUAACCAUCCAAACUCAUGAGAAGUAAUUCAAUACCAACUAAGAUUAACAAGUGCAAAUAAGAGUCCUAAUUGCAGAUCUUAAAGUUAGCUUGAAAUGUUCAUAGCAUAUCAUUAUUUGACAUACCAAAACAGAAAGCAUAUAUGAACAAAUCAAAUGAAAAGAAAACAGAAGAGAGGGAGAUAGCUCGUAGAGCACCUACUUAGCCAAAUCGAGCUCAAACCUAAGAGAAACGAGACCAAAUACAGGCUAGAAUCAACAAACUAUUUGCGUUCAGAUUAAAAAUUAACUACAGAGAAACAAUGAACUAAGCUAUAAGACACCGUAAAUACAAAGUAAUAAGGCUAAACUCAUAAUAGAAAGCUGCAAAACAUGUUUUGAACUUUAGAAUUUUCAUUUUUAUUCCUCAAAUCAAUCUUCACAUGAGGUAGAAUGCAGAAGUGUACCUGGGAAAUAUGAAAAUAGUGAGGUCCAGUGGAUGAACAAAGCAGCAGCAGCACAGCAGGACUCAACACUAUUAAUCCAUUUCAACCAGAAAAUGAAGGGAAACAGCCCAAAAGCCACUCUCAAUCGAACACUAAUCAAAGCUGACCUCAAACCAGAGUUCUAAUAAUAAUCCAAAUUCAACCCAUUCCACCCCAAAUGAACUAGGAUUUUGUUUCAAAAAUCAAAACCUCGAGACUUAAACCAGAAUUUUAAUGGAACACUAAGUUUUGAAUAUUUCCAGUCGCUUUUGAGUUUUUCUAAGCUUUUAUCUCUGAAUUUUUUCCUUUCUUCUCAAGUAAGAGUACCUUUAUAGGCAGACAAAUAGGGCAACUAGCAGAUUUCAGUUUUUGCAUUUACGCUAUUUUCUAAUUUUUGUUUUUGCUACUCUAUCCUUGAAUUUCUGACUUGUGUGCCCAGUAUGGCUGUUUUCAGCUUCUAGGAAGCUUCCUAGGCAGUUACCCAAUAGAUUCCCUAGCUAGACUACCCAAACUGCCCCUCUCACCCCUAUUUAUUACCCUAAAAACCAAUCUGGGUCAGCUGACCAAACUAAUGGGUCUAAAUAACCAAAUUAAAUCCCCAAUUGGGCCUUUAGUUAUUUAGAAACUAAUUAAAACACUUAGGGAGCCUGGAUUAGAACUUGACCCAAAAUUUUCCCACACAAAGAAAUCUGGAACCAUUUCUUUAAAUUGCAGCCAAAACAAAAAUAAAAUUGAAUGAACUAACCAUCUAACACAUAACAGUAAUUUAACUAAAUCAAAGUCUUAAUUUCAUUAGCUAGUGAUACAACUGAUAAUGAAACUCAGAUAGUAAUCAUGCUAUGACCAAAAUAGGAUUGGAGAACGGACUAGAGAAGAACAAACAGAUAGUUAACAAUUUUGUAUAAAACUUGAUUCGAAUUUCGACUGUGUUGUCUAGAAAAAGGAUAAAAGAAGAAGAACAGAAGCCGAAGCACCAAGAUGAAUUGAACAGAGGAAGAACUCACCUCACAACACUUGAAUUCGAGGCCUGACUUUCCGACUUCAUCGCCGAAUAAUGUUAACCGUUUGUUCUUUGUCAAGAACAAGCAAACAAAACCAUUUCAUGACAAAAUUGAUUCUAAAACUUAUGAAUGCUGGAGCAAUCACUUUGCAUGCUCAGGUUUGGAUUUGGCUCUUAGAGACUCGGAUUUUGGAUUUAAGAUUCCAGAAAUUUAAGGAGGAUUUGAGGGAAAUGGCUUAUAGAUUCAGUAUGGUGGAUUAGGGUUCAGAUAUGGAGAAGACAUGAGGGAGAUGAAGAAAGGGGCGAGUGGAACUGGUCUAUCCCUGAGAGAUUUUGGAUAUUUUUAUGUGAAGUGGGGAAGUGCUUGGAGUCGUUGGAUGGAAGGAAAUAGAGGGCCAUGAUCGUC